UCCGUAGGUGAACCUGCGGAAGGAUCAUUAUUGAAAACUAGGGUGUCCAAUUUAACUUGGAACCCAACCUUCUCAAUUCUAACUUUGUGCAUCUGUAUAAUGGCGAAGCAGAUCUUCGGAUCUGUGAGCCUUCACUUACAAAACAUCAGUCUAUGAAUGUAAAAUUUUUAUAACAAAUAAAAACUUUCAACAACGGAUCUCUUGGCUCUCGCAUCGAUGAAGAACGCAGCGAAAUGCGAUACGUAAUGUGAAUUGCAGAAUUCAGUGAAUCAUCGAAUCUUUGAACGCAUCUUGCGCUCUCUGGUAUUCCGGAGAGCAUGUCUGUUUGAGUGUCAUGAAUUCUUCAACCUAAUCUUUUCUUGUAAUCGAUUGGUGUUUGGAUUCUGAGCGCUGCUGGCUUCGGCCUAGCUCGUUCGUAAUACAUUAGCAUCCCUAAUACAAGUUUGGAUUGACUUGGCGUAAUAGACUAUUCGCUAAGGAUUCGGUGGAAACAUCGAGCCAGCUUAAUUAAGGAAGCUCCUAAUUUAAAAGUCUACCUUUUGAUUAGAUCUCAAAUCAGGCAGGAUUACCCGCUGAACUUAAGCAUAUCAAUAAGCGGAGGA
rnacentral:rRNA from 1 species